rnacentral:rRNA from 1 species
CAGUCGCCGCGGUAAUACGAAGGGUGCAAGCGUUAAUCGGAAUUACUGGGCGUAAAGCGUGCGUAGGCGGUUUGUUAAGUCUGCUGUGAAAUCCCCGGGCUCAACCUGGGAAUGGCAGUGGAUACUGGCAAGCUAGAGUGUGUCAGAGGAUAGUGGAAUUUCCGGUGUAGCAGUGAAAUGCGUAGAGAUCGGAAGGAACAUCUGUGGCGAAGGCGACUAUCUGGGCCAACACUGACACUGAGGCACGAAAGCGUGGGGAGCAAACAGGAUUAGAUACCCCCGUAGUCCCUGUCUCUUAUAC